ensembl:lncRNA uncharacterized LOC114441494
UUGGUGUGAGCCAGUUGAGCGGCUGGAGAGAAGAGCGAGAGGUCUGAACGGUGUAGGCGGGCGGAAGAUCAGCGAUUGCUGGCGUGAAGAUGGCGGAGACCGUACGCUCGCUCUUCGAGUACCGGGACCCACACAGCCUGAACAGCGAGGGAGAGGGCGCCAAACCAACACCGCCUCUACGAGGGCGUGGCUGUGGAAGGAAAGGAAAGGGACACCCGUAAAAGUAUUCGUUACAAACACUGUGGAAGAGAGCGCGGCUGAACACAGCUUCAACGCAGGUGAUCGAAAGGAAGCAGGAGAGAAUAAACAGCCCAUGCUGGACGGGCCUUUCUACAACACUGAGCCUGCCCCUCACAACUGCGGUCCAUCGGAGCAGACACACAAUAAAGUCUCCACUGGAUCCAAGACCAGCUCCUGCUCAGCCUCCACACCAGCUCCAUCUCCAGCUGCUUCUUCUGCCCCAACCCCAGUCCCUGCACCAGCUCCUGCCAUGGCCACUGCAUCUUCAGCUCAGGCCCCAUCUUUGACCCCUGCGUCCACAGCUCCAGCUGCCCCGACAGCCUCCGCUCCAGCACCUACAGCCAGCUCCUUCCCUCCCUCCCCCAACUGCCGUAUACGAGAGGUGCACUGUGGCAGCCAGGUGCGGUUGGUCGUUAUCGCCAUCCGAGACAUCACCAAGGGGGAGGAGAUCACUGUGGACUACAGCCUAACAGAGUGGGGGGAGAAUCUGGGUUUUCGUGGUACUGUGUCUCCAUCGCAACAUGACUGUAACUCCGACACAGAAAAUAACACCAGUAUCAAAAAGGAGGAUGAACCUCUCUCAAUGACAGCCCAGCAGCGACAACAGCAGCAACAACAGCAGGAAUAUGUCACCCCCUCUUGGUCCCUCUCCCCCUCCUCCUCUCCCAUCUCCCACUCUGAUGCCAGUGAUUCAGAAGCCGGAGAUGAGGACAACUCUAGCCCACGUGGACGUGCACUUCGCCGGCGUAAGAAACGUCGCGGCACUCCUUCAAAGAAAAAGACUCCUCAUCGGACACCACCUGGGCGGCCGCUGCCGACUUCCCCCUCCAGUGUUUCUCAUCAGAACCGUCCACUUCCUUCAUCCCAUUCUGCAGCACAGUCCUCCCCUCCAUGCUCAUCUUCCUCCACCUCUUCUUCAGCUAAGCCUGUGUUCAAAUCUCCAGCACCAUUGACCUCCAACAACUCAAGCAACAUCAUGUCAAAUGUCCCCAGAGGAGCAGUCUCCAUAGACUCCAUGCGCCAAACCUGCGAGUACUGUGGACGCCACUUCCGCUCACUGGGCCGCCACUUAGACAAACACCAUGCCCACCAGCCUGACGUGUGCUCUGCCCUUGUUGAGCGCUACACACAGAUGCCCCGUCACAACACAAACCCUUCCACAGCUCUCACACACACUCAGCAACACUCAAAGUUGUCGCACACUGCAGGACACGGCCGGAGUUCAGAUCAUACACAAAGUGUUGUCCAAGACCUCUCCGUGUCUCCACCCACUCUCACAACAGGCAGUCUAUCCCCUGCCUCCUCUGGAAGGAACUCUACACCUCCUAUGCUGACCCCCCCACGAGGACAGAAUGCAGUGCCCGUGUCCGUCUUAAAGAGGAGCCCACCACCUGUGGGUAUGACCCCAUCCAGGAAAAGUGCAAUGAGGGGGAAUAAGAAAGAAAGACAGGUGGAUGAAGAGGAUGAGGAGGAAGAAGAUGAGGAAGAUGUUGAGGUCGUAGAGGUCAAAAGGCCCAAAGAGGAGGAGGAUGUAGAGCUUGUUUGUCCUCAGUCGUACAGCAGCAAGACGCCCAAAGAGAUGAAGAUACCAAAAGACGAGGAAGAUGAGGAGGAUGAGGAAGAUGAGGAGGAGGAGAACGGAGUAAUGGAGGUGGAAGAUGAGAGUGGGACAGAAGAUAAAGACAAAGACUUGCUGAGCUCGGGACGUCACCACAUGCUGCCUCUCCUCUCAUCCCUGUCAUCCUUGGUGUUGUACCUCCGCCGGCUUCAGCACUCGGCCUUCUUGUCUCUAUCUCGGCAGCUUCAGUCUGCCGAGGCCUGGCGCCUUCUCUGUCACUCCAGCCUGGCAAUCCUCAUUCUAUACAACCGACGACGUGAGUGUGAGGUAUCAAAGCUGUCCAUCGCUGAAUAUCAUGCUCGCAUUACUCCACAGUGCCCUGUUCCUGUCCCACCUGGUGCUCCUCCAGCUCUCACGCCACUGGAGGCCUCCCUCUCUCCAUUUGAGCGCCUGGUGCUUCCUCAUCUGCCUAGAGUUGGGGUCCAGGGUAAGCGUGGACGUGUGCAACCACUCAUCCUUCCCCCGCACUGUGAGCCAUGCCUGGAACUUCUGCUGCAGACACGGCAGGAUGUAGGAGUUGACCCCACAAACCCCUAUGUCUUUGCCCGGCCCUACCACUCACCUGCUACACCGCUGCGCGGCACUGACCUGCUACGCAGCCUGGCUCGCUCCAGUGGUACCCGCAAUCCACGUGCUCUGACCCAGACGAGAGUUCGCCGACAGGUAGCAAUCCUAACACAGCUGCUGCUCCUAGGAGAGGGAGAGGAACCCGGACAGCCAGGAGGAAGUGCUGUGGAGAGGCUGGAGCACUUCCUCGAGAGAGAGUACCAUGUGACGCAGAAUUGUGCCGGAAUUGGCCAAGACCCAGGCCUGAUGGGGAGAGUGGGCCGAGUCGUGCUGUGUGGAGAGAGAGAUGGAGUGCUUUUCAGGGGAAUGAGCUUGAACCACAUCUGUUUGGAACUAGACGUCAUGUCAGGAAACUCGGCAGACUCGUACUCAGAGGGAGAGUCUGAAGGGGAGCAGGUGAAGGAGAAGCCUGAACUGAUUGCCCCUGUUCCUUCUCAGAACCCUACGCCUACCCUCCUGUAUGUCAGGAAGGGCAAGAACAACGGGAGAGUGGGACGACCCAAGAAGCUCAAAAACACCCAGCCACCACUUUUGCUGUCACCAUCACCACAGCCAACCAUGAACCGCAGGAGGGGCUCAGGUCAGCCUUCAUCAGGAAAGCGAGGUGUACUGAAGCGUCCUUGGUCCGAGGCGGAGCGUGCCGCAGUUGAGGAGCACCUGACCCAGAACAUCAACGAGCUUCGAGUUCCCGCCAAAGCUGACUGCGAGCGCUGCCUGCAGCAGUGCCCCCUGCUGGUCAACAACCACCGUGACUGGCGAGCAAUCAAGUUCUACUGCCACAACCGCAUUCAGCUGCUGAAGAAAAAUCAGCGUCGUGAAAACGAUCCACAACCGCUCACUGUCUGCUGAGUGGGGUUAGAGGUCAGAAAGGUGUUUGAUUCACUGCAGCUGAGCAGAAUCUCAAAUGGUACCCUGCUGCCCAUGAAAUGCACUAAUUAUGAGAGGAUGGUCCUAAAUUUCUCCCCACUCUCUGGUAGCGUGGUGUGUCUUUGACAUUGCUUUUAAUUUGAAACCUAAUGAGAUAACUAUUUUGGACUGAACAGGAAUUUUUUGCUGCUUUACUUUAAGGUCUUAAAAAUACACUAGUGUUUAUGGCUGUCUAGUUUUUGACAGUUUCAGUCGAGUCUUGUCAAAAGCAGUAUACCUUGAUGGGUGCCGUUUGAGACAGGCCUCGAGGGACUCCAGAGACAUGGCACUGGCUGCAGCCUGCGUCAUGUUGUAUAUGGACAUGUUCUUUUCCUUCCACAAUAAAUACACUAAACGGAAAUGUAAACA